GACGUAGGGCGCGAGCGUUGUCCGGAUUUAUUGGGCGUAAAGAGCUCGUAGGCGGCUUGUCGCGUCGUUCGUGAAAACCUGCAGCUCAACUGCAGGCUUGCGGUCGAUACGGGCAGGCUAGAGUUCGGUAGGGGAGACUGGAAUUCCUGGUGUAGCGGUGAAAUGCGCAGAUAUCAGGAAGAACACCCGUGGCGAAGGCGGUUCUCUGGGACGGUACUGACGCUGAGACGCGAAAGCGUGGGGAGCGAACAGG
rnacentral:rRNA from 1 species